ACCUACAUGCAGUUUUGUAAGAGCUCCUACUUUCAGAUUUAAGCAUUUAAUAGUUUAAGUAUUUCGAGAUUCUGAUUGUAAUACACUUAAGGCUUACGUAGAUGGCUAAAGUGGGGUGUACAAACUGACCUGAUUGUAUGUUAUGUAGCAGUAACCUGAGAAAAUUGAGCACCUUUUCUGAAAGUUACAAUUUACUUCUAUCAUUUGGUCUCAACUUCUAUGAUGCCUAAGGGUAUACCAAACUGACCUGAUUGUAUGUUAUGUAGCAGUAACCUGAGAAAAUUGAGCACCUUUUCUGAAAGUUACAAUUUACUUCUAUCAUUUGGUCUCAACUUCUA
rnacentral:lncRNA from 1 species